UGCCAGCCGCCGCGGUAAUACAUAGGGUGCAAGCGUUAAUCGGAAUUACUGGGCGUAAAGCGUUCGCAGGCUGUUCUACAAGUCAGAUGUUAAAUCCCCGAGCUUAACUUGGGAACUGCGUUUGAAACUGUAAGACUAGAGUGUGUCAGAGGGGGGUAGAAUUCCACGUGUAGCAGUGAAAUGCGUAGAUAUGUGGAGGAAUACCAAUGGCGAAGGCAGCCCCCUGGGAUAACACUGACGCUCAUGAACGAAAGCGUGGGGAGCAAACAGGAUUAGAUA
rnacentral:rRNA from 1 species